GUGAUGGUGGGUUAUUUUUUUUUGCUGAACUCUAGAAAUUGGAGUUCAGCUCCCCUCAAAUGCAUCAGCGAAACAAUUAGUUUACCGCUCAUUGGUGUGAUAACUAUCUACGCUAUUGACGGUAAAGCAUGUUUAGCUUCUAAUAGUCCAUUAACUUGGACAAAGCUUUAUUAAU
rnacentral:misc_RNA from 1 species